CAACAUUUCUUUGUUUUACCAUUGGUAGCUUCAAACAGCUUUUAAUUAUUCACAUUGAAUAUUUUGAAACGGUGUUUCCUGCUAUAUUUGUUCUUAUGAACAAGAAAACAAAAAAGUUACGAACAUGUGUUUAACUAUAUUAAUACUAAUGUGGUAAACUUAGACGGAGCGGUGUUUAUGGCGGAUUUUGAAAUUGGAUUGCGUAGUGCUAUAAAAAAAAUAUUUGAACAUUCUAAGCUAUUCGGGUGCUGGUUUCACUAUUGUCAAGCAAUACGAAGAAAUAUUGCUACAAAACACAAGAAUCUGGCGGAAUUUAUUAGGCAAACCGAAAGCAUCUAUAUCUUACCACAAAAUAUUGUCACUCCCAUUAUUACCGGAGACACACAUUGUUAAUUGCUUUUCCAUCAUCAAAGAAGAAAUUUCCACUUUCGACCACUUGUUUAAAUUUGAAUCUUUUUUAAAAUACUUUGAAGAGCAAUGGCUAAAAAAAAUUGGUCCAAGAAAUCUUUCGGUCUUUGGAAAUAAGAUCCGUACAACAUCAGCUGUAGAAUCGUAUAAUGCUGUGCUUGCCAAAAUAAUCCCAAAACAAGGGAAUUUUUUCAAAUUUGUAGGGCAGUUACAAAUGGAGGAGUAUCACAAAAGUAGGGAAUUAGAAUUGGUUAUCAACAGCGGUGGUGCUUUAGGGAAACCAAAAAGAAAAACAAAGGAACACGUUAUGAGAGCAAAUCUAAUUGCUAAAGCGGAGACGGACCUGCUUAAUGGACUCAUAACCACUACGAGUUUCUUGGAUAGAAUGGUCUUCUCUAGAAACAAAAUAGUAACUGAUAUAUUUGAAGACAUAUUCGAAGGUUUAGAAUAUAUGGAAGAAGAAUCUGAAGUCGAAGAAGAAUCCAAUGCCACGGAAGAAGGUGCAGCAAAUCCUCCACUGAUAUGCAUAAUUUGUUUGGAAAACAAACCUAAUAUAAUAUUUUGCUUUUGCCAUGCAAACAUUUAAAAUUUUGCAGUGACUGCACAUCUAAAAUAGAAGCAGAAAGUGUGGCAAACAAUUUUAAUAAAUUUAAAUGCCCUUUUGUCGUCAAGAUGUCGACGAAUAUUUACAUAUUUUUAUUUAAUUAUUUUCUUUU